GCGCGAAAACUUUACAAUGCGGGCAACCGUGAUAAGGGAACCCCGAGUGCCCGUAAAUUCGGGCUGUUAAUCUGUGUAAAAAGCAGGUGGAGAAAGGGCCGGGCAAGACCGGUGCCAGCCGCCGCGGUAAUACCGGCGGCUCGAGUGGUGGCCACUAUUACUGGGCUUAAAGCGUCCGUAGCUGGAUUGUUAAGUCUCUUGGGAAAUCUACCGGCUUAACCGAUAGGCGUUCAAGGGAUACUGGCAAUCUAGGGACCGGGAGAGGUGAGAGGUACUCCAGGGGUAGGAGUGAAAUCCUGUAAUCCUUGGGGGACCACCUGUGGCGAAGGCGUCUCACCAGAACGGCUCCGACAGUGAGGGACGAAAGCUGGGGGAGCAAACCGGAUUAGAUACCCGGGUAGUCCCAGCUGUAAACGAUGUGCGUUAGGUGUAUCGGUGACCACGAGUCACCGAGGUGCCGAAGAGAAAUCGUGAAACGUACCGCCUGGGAAGUACGGUCGCAAGGCUGAAACUUAAAGGAAUUGGCGGGGGAGCACCACAACGGGUGAGCCUGCGGUUUAA
rnacentral:rRNA from 1 species